AUUGAACGCUGGCGGCAUGCUUUACACAUGCAAGUCGAACGGUAACAGGGUGCUUGCACCGCUGACGAGUGGCGAACGGGUGAGUAAUGCGUCGGAACGUGCCGAGUAGUGGGGGAUAACGCAGCGAAAGUUGUGCUAAUACCGCAUACGUACUGAGGUAGAAAGUGGGGGACCUUUGGGCCUCACGCUAUUCGAGCGGCCGACGGCUGAUUAGCUAGUAGGUGAGGUAAAGGCUCACCCAGGCGACGAUCAGUAGCGGGUCUGAGAGGAUGAUCCGCCACGGUGGGACUGAGACACGGCCCAGACUCCUACGGGAGGCAGCAGUGGGGAAUUUUGGACAAUGGGCGAAAGCCUGAUCCAGCCAUGCCGCGUGUCUGAAGAAGGCCUUCGGGUUGUAAAGGACUUUUGUCAGGGAGGAAAUCCCUAGUGCUAAUAACACUGGGGGAUGACAGUACCUGAAGAAUAAGCACCGGCUAACUACGUGCCAGCCGCCGCGGUAA
rnacentral:rRNA from 1 species